GCUAAUACCGCAUAAUGUCGUUGUUUCGCAUGGAACGGCGAUCAAAGAAUUUCGGCUAGAAAUGGGCCUGCGUCGGAUUAGCUAGUUGGUGCGGUAACGGCGCACCAAGGCGACGAUCCGUAGCUGGUCUGAGAGGAUGAUCAGCCACACUGGCACUGAGACACGGGCCAGACUCCUACGGGAGGCAGCAGUGAGGAAUCUUGCGCAAUGGAGGAAACUCUGACGCAGCCACGCCGCGUGCAGGACGACACCCCUAUGGGGCGUAAACUGCUUUUCUGCGAGAAGAAAGAUCCGGUCGCCGGAAGUUGACGGUAUCGCAGGAAUAAGCACCGGCUAACUCCGUGCCAGCAGCCGCGGUAAUACGGAGGGUGCAAGCGUUGUCCGGAAUCACUGGGUGUAAAGGGUGCGCAGGCGGGCGUGUAAGUCAGAGGUGAAAGCCCAUAGCUUAACUGUGGAACUGCCUUUGAUACUGCACGUCUUGAGUCCUGGAGGGGCUACUGGAAUUCGUGGUGUAGCGGUGAAAUGCGUAGAUAUCACGAGGAACACCUACGGCGUAGGCUGGUAGCUGGACAGGUACUGACGCUCAGGCACGAAAGCGUGGGGAGCAAACAGGAUUAGAUACCCUGGUAGUCCACGCUGUAAACGAUGAGUGCUCGGUGUCGCCCCGCCUGCGGGGCGGUGCCUAAGCUAACGCGUUAAGCACUCCACCUGGGGAGUACGCUCGCAAGGGUGAAACUCAAAGGAAUUGACGGGGGCCCGCACAAGCGGUGGAGCAUGUGGCUUAAUUCGAUGCAACGCGAAGAACCUUACCCAGGCUCGAACAUCAGGAGACAGGUCCUGAAAGGGGCUCUUCUUCGGACUCUUGGUGAGGUGCUGCAUGGCUGUCGUCAGUUCGUGUCGUGAGAUGUUGGGUUAAGUCCCGCAACGAACGCAACCCCUAUCGCUAGUUACCAGCGGGUAAUGCCGGGGACUCUAGCGAGACUGCCUGCGCAAGCAGUGAGGAAGGUGGGGACGACGUCAAGUCAUCAUGGCCCUUACGCCUGGGGCUGCACACGUGCUACAAUGGACGGUACAACGGGCUGCUACUCCGCGAGGAGAUGCCAAUCCUUAAAGCCGUUCUCAGUUCGGAUUGGAGGCUGCAACUCGCCUCCAUGAAGUCGGAAUCGCUAGUAAUCGCGCAUCAGCUACGGCGCGGUGAAUACGU
rnacentral:rRNA from 1 species